AAACAUUGUUUUCUACCAAAAAAAAAAAAAAGAAAAAAAGAAAACAAAACCCCCCCCCAAAAAACAAGGUUCCCUGGAAUACUUGCUGAUUCUAGGACUGAGUAACAGAUAUAUAAGAAAAGCCUGAAAUAUCCUGUGAUGCCAGAAAGUAAGGAAGUGCUCAAAAAAAUGAAAGAGGCUGAUUGAAAGAACACAGGAGUCAAGAUGAAGAAGUUCCUGGUGCCCAAGGCUGAGAUAAUUUGAGCAACGAAAAUAUAAAGGGAACACAAAUCUGAAGAUGGACGCCAGAUACUUAAUAUAACUGUUUUAAGAAAGAAAAAGAUACAAUGACUUGAAGAGCUGAUAAAUCAUUAAAAUUUUUGUUUAAAUACAGCUGGUAACACGUAACUUCCACACAGCUGUAACAUCCCUUGAUAAACCUUGUAUCCCUUGUUCAGAGGAUUCCAUGGCC